ACCCUUAGUUGCCAUCAUUAAGUUUGGGGCACCCUAAGGGAACUGCCGCAGUUAAUGCGGAGGAAGGUGGGGAUGACGUCAAGUCCUCAUGGCCCUUAUAUCCAGGGCUACACACGUGCUGCAAUGGGCGGUACAAAGGGUCGCGAGCCUGUAAGGGGGAGCUAACCCAGAAAACCGUUCUCAGUUCGGAUUGGAGUCUGCAACCCGACUCCAUGAAGUUGGAAUCGCUAGUAAUCGCGGAUCAGAACGCCGCGGUCGAAUACGUUCCCGGGCCUU
rnacentral:rRNA from 1 species